CUACGGGGGGCUGCAGUGGGGAAUAUUGCACAAUGGGCGCAAGCCUGAUGCAGCCAUGCCGCGUGUAUGAAGAAGGCCUUCGGGUUGUAAAGUACUUUCAGCGGGGAGGAAGGGAGUAAAGUUAAUACCUUUGCUCAUUGACGUUACCCGCAGAAGAAGCACCGGCUAACUCCGUGCCAGCAGCCGCGGUAAUACGGAGGGUGCAAGCGGUAAUCGGAAUUACUGGGCGUAAAGCGCACGCAGGCGGUUUGUUAAGUCAGAUGUGAAAUCCCCGGGCUCAACCUGGGAACUGCAUCUGAUACUGGCAAGCUUGAGUCUCGUAGAGGGGGGUAGAAUUCCAGGUGUAGCGGUGAUAUGCGUAGAGAUCUGGAGGAAUACCGGUGGCGAAGGCGGCCCCCUGGACGAAGACUGACGCUCAGGUGCGAAAGCGUGGGGAGCAAACAGGAUUAGAUACCCUAGUAGUC
rnacentral:rRNA from 1 species